UCCCUUCGACGCCGCCGCUGCCCGCUGCAAACAUCAACGAGUGGAUCUGUGGACGGGCUAGCUGCAAACAUCAAUGAGUGGAUCUAUGGAAGGGCUAGCUGCAAACAUCAACAAGUGGAUUUGUGGAAGGAGAUAGCCCUGCUUCGAGCCUUUGACGUCGCCGCUGUAAACAUCAACGAGUGGAAAGAGGUUGAAGGCGACGAGUCGACCAUAGAAAGUUGAGAGUAGAAUCACAUUGAGGACUCGAGGUCAUGUGAUCGUGCUUCUAGUGGUCGAGAACUCCAGAUCUAAAGAGUGGAGAUCAUCCGCAAGCUUCUUUUUCUGCUUCAACGUUCUUCAUCAAGGAAAAUCUGAGACAAGUUGCUCGUGUGAACAUGCUUCUAGUCUAGUGGUCGGUAACUUGGGAUCUAAAGAGUGGAGACCACACAUGAUCUUCUUUCUCUACCUCAAGCCCUCAACAUUCUAAUUAGAGGAAAUCUGAAAACUCCUGCAACAGUAGAAAUGCUGAUGUGUGGUGGAGAUUGGUGUCGAAAACGACAUGGAGUGACUAAAAAGACUAAGGUUGAAAAACAACUUUUGACAAUUGAUUUGCCCAUAGAUUAAAUGAAUCAUUUUAGGUUGAAAUUUGAAAAAUCAGUCAUGCCACUAAGAUUGAAGAGGUGGAAGUAUCAAACUUUUUAUUUUAUGAAGCUUUUGUAUAUCUUGCUGGAUUGAAAUUGUUGGUAGCUGAACUGGGAAGGGAUAGAAGUACGAACUGUCAGUGUUGAAGAUGGUAGAUUGAACUUUGAAGCAAGGGUAGCAGCCAGCAUGAACUUUUUUAUUUUCUUUAGUUUUGUAUGUUUUUUAAACUGGGAAUGUAAGGGCAGACCGGUAGAAUGAAGAUGCAGAAUGCAGAUUGAAGCUGGGAUAGAUUGGCUGUAUAACUUAUUAUCAUCCCUUUUUGUUUGU